rnacentral:rRNA from 1 species
AGAGAGUGGCAGACGGGUGAGUAACGCGUGGGAACCUACCCUUCGGUACGGAAUAGCUCAGGGAAACUUGGGGUAAUACCGUAUACGCCCUUCGGGGGAAAGAUUUAUCGCCGAUGGAUGGGCCCGCGUCUGAUUAGCUUGUUGGUGAGGUAAUGGCUCACCAAGGCGACGAUCAGUAGCUGGUCUGAGAGGAUGAUCAGCCACACUGGGACUGAGACACGGCCCAGACUCCUACGGGAGGCAGCAGUGGGGAAUAUUGGACAAUGGGGGAAACCCUGAUCCAGCCAUGCCGCGUGAGUGACGACGGCCUUAGGGUUGUAAAGCUCUUUUGGCAGGGACGAUAAUGACGGUACCUGCAGAAUAAGCCCCGGCUAACUUCGUGCCAGCAGCCGCGGUAAUACGAAGGGGGCUAGCGUUGUUCGGAAUUACUGGGCGUAAAGCGC